AUGGAUGACCUUUGUGCUCUUACCACCGGGCUCAGGAGGUUUUCUGGAGGAAACCCUGAAAGUGUCCUGAUCCAGUUCUCCAUUUUGACUUAAACUUUCUCAGCAAUCUCCGCUGAGGAAUGUUGCAGACGGACUCACCUGGAGGAGGGGGCGGAGCUGCAUCCACGUGGACAAUGAUGAUUGUGUCAACAUGGCUCUCUUCCCGCAGGUUGUUCUUCUCUGGACGACUUGACACCCGUAUGAUCCAGUUUCCUCAGGACCAAAGACAUGUCUCUGUCCUUCAUCUGUCUGUCCUGCAGGUCCACCCGUUCCGUGUAGGGCGAGUGCUGGAAAGCGGAUUUCAUCCUCUUGUCCCGGUGAAGAACGUAUUUGGGACUCCAGGGGCCUCAUGUAUAAAAGCUUUCACACUAAAAAUUGGUAUAUGGACAAAUUUAAUAAAGUACUAACGUCGCAAGGAUGUGUGACCCUUCAAAUCACAAAUCCAGUGACGUCAUUUGAGAUAUCUUGAAAGAAAUUUUGAUUUGUCCAAAUAUAAUUGAAGAUAUCUUGAAUUAUUA